CCUACGGGGGCAGCAGUGGGGAAUAUUGGACAAUGGGCGAAAGCCUGAUCCAGCCAUGCCGCGUGUGUGAAGAAGGCCUUCGGGUUGUAAAGCACUUUCAGUGGGGAAGAAAGCCUUGGGGCUAAUACCCUCGAGGAAGGACAUCACCCACAGAAGAAGCACCGGCUAACUCCGUGCCAGCAGCCGCGGUAAUACGGAGGGUGCGAGCGUUAAUCGGAAUUACUGGGCGUAAAGCGCGCGUAGGCGGUCUGAUAAGCCGGUUGUGAAAGCCCCGGGCUCAACCUGGGAACGGCAUCCGGAACUGUCAGGCUAGAGUGCAGGAGAGGAAGGUAGAAUUCCCGGUGUAGCGGUGAAAUGCGUAGAGAUCGGGAGGAAUACCAGUGGCGAAGGCGGCCUGCUGGACUGACACUGACGCUGAGGUGCGAAAGCGUGGGUAGCAAACAGGAUUAGAUACCCCAGUAGUC
rnacentral:rRNA from 1 species